rnacentral:rRNA from 1 species
CCUACGGGAGGCUGCAGUGAGGAAUAUUGGUCAAUGGGCGUAAGCCUGAACCAGCCAAGUCGCGUGAGGGAUGAAGGUUCUAUGGAUCGUAAACUUCUUUUAUAAGGGAAUAAAGUGUGGGACGUGUCCUGUUUUGUAUGUACCUUAUGAUUAAGGAUCGGCUAAUUCCGUGCCAGCAGCCGCGGUAAUACGGAGGAUCCGAGCGUUAACCGGAUUUAUUGGGUUUAAAGGGUGCGUAGGCGGCCUUUUAAGUCAGGGGGUAAAGUUUGUGGCUCAACCAUAGAAUUGCCGUUGAAACUGGAAGGCUUGAGUAUGUUAGAGGCAGGCGGAAUGCGUGGUGUAGCGGUGAAAUGCUUAGAUAUCACGCAGAACCCCGAUUGCGAAGGCAGCCUGCCAAGCCGUGACUGACGCUGAUGCACGAAAGCGUGGGGAUCAAACAGGAUUAGAUACCCGAGUAGUC